rnacentral:lncRNA from 1 species
CACCACAGGUCUCUUAAAAACCAAAAUCCAUGUUUAAAAUGGAUACAGGAGUCCGAUCACAAGUCUAAAGACCCUCCUGACCGUCGGAUCUCACCGCAAUCAUGCCCAGCACCGACUGUGCCCAUCUGAUCGCUCAAAUAUCCUGAGAAACACCCAAAAAUCAUAAUCGUCCAUGUUGGAUCGUGAGAAACCACUGAAAAAUGCCUCCCAAUCCAUGCAGCCUCUUCAUGGACCGCCAAUCCGUGGUGGACCAUGGUACAUUGCAUGGUUUGGACCAUGCUUGCGCAUGGGCUGCAUGCACAUGAUUGCGCGUUGGGAUGCACGGGUGCCUAGGCUUGGGCCGCACCUGCGCAUAUCUGUGACUGGGCCAUGCACUCGUGGCCAGCCCGGCACCACUGCGCACACUUGCUCUACUGUGACCUCCAUCGCUCCAUGGAUUGUGCCACCUUCUUUCGCACGUAUUUUCUCCAUCUGGACUCCAUUUGAGUUGACUUGGGCUCGUUAGACUUCGUUCGUCAUCUUGGAUCUUGCUGUAGGCUCCUUAUGGGCCGAAUCUCGAGGCAUCAAAUCUCAACAGAGUGUAGGCGUGGUUCAAUAAUGGGUGGUGCCCAAUUUACUUGGUCCAAGUGUUUUAAGGCUAGAACUUCUAAUAUGAUUAGGAGGAGGAAUCCUAAUUUGAUUAGGACAUCCUUAUGUUGUUUAUUUAAAUGACUCUAACUUUACCUCUUUUGAUUAUCACAUAUUCU